rnacentral:rRNA from 1 species
GGAGGUUACUGCUAUCGGUGUUCGCCUAACCCAUGCGAGUCAUAUGUUCUUCGUGAACAUGGCGUACUGCUCAGUAACACGUGAAUAACCUGCCCUUGGGACCGGCAUAACCCCGGGAAACUGGGGAUAAUUCCGGAUACCGCAUAUAUGCUGGAAUGCUUUAUGCGUGAAAUGGAUUCGUCUGCCCAAGGAUGGGUCUGCGGCCUAUCAGGUAGUAGUGGGUGUAAUGUACCUACUACCCUACAACGGGUACGGGUUGUGAGAGCAAGAGCCCGGAAAUGGAUUCUGAGACAUGAAUCCAGGCCCUACGGGGCGCACCAGGCGCGAAAACUCUACAAUGCGGGAAACCGUGAUAAGGGGACACCGAGUGCCAGCAACAUUUGUUGGCUGUCCAGGUGUGUAAACUACACCUGCUAGCAAGGGCCGGGCAAGACCGGUGC